rnacentral:tRNA from 1 species
GUCCCCUUAGCUCAGCAGGAUAGAGCGUCAGUUUCCUAAACUGUAGGUCAGUGGUUCGAGUCCACUAGGGGACG